ensembl:lncRNA LINC01608 long intergenic non-protein coding RNA 1608
CCCUGCCACACUAUGGAAGCUUUGUUCUUUUGCUCUUUGCAAUAAAUCUUGCUACUGCUUACUCUUUGGGUCCACACUGCCUUCAUGAGCUGUAACACUCACCGGGAAGGUCUGCAACUUCACUCCUGAGCCAGCGAGACCACGAGCCCACUGGAAGGAACAAACUCCCGCACGCCGCCUUUAAGAACUGUAACACUCACAGAGAGGGCCCGCGGCUUCAUUCCCGAAGUCAGUGAGACCAAGAACCAACCAAUUCCGGGCACGUUUCUUUUUCUGCAUCCGCUGCUCUGUUAAGUGAUCACCACAUUCAUUGUUCUCGUUUCUAUUAUUUCUGAAAAAAAUCUUCAGGAUUCUGCUUGUGGGAGUGGAUGACAUUUUUACAGUGUUUACAGGCUGAAAAUUUUUCGAGCUUUUAUGCUCUGCUUCCGUUAUAAGGAGGAGGCCUCACAAUCCUGGUGGAAGGCAAGGAGGAGCAAGUCACAUCUUAUGUGGAUGGCAGCAGGCAAAGAAAGCUUAUGCAGACACAAAAUGAACAAGAUGUCUGUGGCAACCCUCAGACCAUUGACGCCUUCUCUCCUAUGUAUCAAAUCACACAUUUGGACGUUGACUGAACCCUCACAUGUCAGAUGCUCAAUAUUGAGGUAUAGUAAAAGGGAGCAUGAACUUGAGAAAAUACGCUUUCAACACAAAGCUGUAAUAAUAUAAGGUCAAAUAAGAUUCUGCAUUGGAGAUAGAAAACUCUGAAGGAAGCUUUAUCUAUUCCAGAAUGUCAUAUAGCUGGUAUAAGAACCUGAAGAUUGGAUCUUCUGAGAACAUCAGAGAAAGACUGUCCUUGCCAUCCAUACUACAGCAAAACUUUGGGACCUUGAACUUUGGGUUCACAAUCUCACAACCAAGAAGGAUCCCUCUACAAUUUUGGAACAGUACACCCAUUGGAAACCUUAAGGUAAAGCUAACCAGGAAAGUUUCUCCCCAGAAGAAGAUGGCAUCCUUGAUGUGAACAGCUUUUCCCAAGAACAUGAAUUCUCUACUGUUAUGAGACUCUUAUCUUAGAAUAUUUUCCUUGUUUAUGACUCUAUGAACAAUAGAAUGAAAUGAAAAGGGGGUUUGUUUUGUGCACUUAUGGGGUAUAAUUUUAUGUGUGAAUGAUUUUGCACCCAGCCUUAUACAUGGAUAAACUUAUACUUUAAUAGAUAAAAAAUAAAGGUCCAGUGUAAGUGAGAAACU